UCCUUCGUGGUGCAAUAGUCAGUACACUCGGCGCGUAUUCGAGAGGUCUGAGGUUCGAGUCCCGGCGAGGGCA
rfam:Stegodyphus mimosarum contig717, whole genome shotgun sequence.